rnacentral:misc_RNA from 1 species
AACGCACAUUGCGCCCGCCAGCAUUCUGGCGGGCAUGCCUGUCCGAGCGUCAUUUCAACCCUCAGGCCCUGCCUGGUGUUGGAGGACUGCGCACCGCAGCCUCCCAAAGCAAGCGGCGGCGGCGCCCCAUAACCGAACGCAGUAGUUACAUCUCGUUCUGGGUCUGGGUCGUUGUCCUGCCGGAAAACCCCCAUCUUUUUAAUGGUUGACCUCGGAUCAGGUAGGAAUACCCGCUGAACUUAA